UAGAAAUAAAGUUAUAAUUUUAAUACUGUUUUAUUUCCGCAUCACAUGGAACAUGUAUUUUAUUGUACUUUUUGCGACUGUCAAUAUUUUUGUUACCAUAGAUGCAAGACACAAAACAGCCAGUACUGACAUUUCAAGCGGCGACAGCCAACAGGAAUUAUCUUUGGAAAAUGAUUUAUCAGGAUCAGCCGACUACCCCGACGAUGUUAUGCAAAAAUCCAAAGACCACGUGCAUAAAUACGGCAGAGAUUCAAGAAAACAUAUGGAAACCAGACGUUGGCACAGAAACUGCUUAAGAAAAGCUACUAAUAUGUGCACGAAAGCCUGUCAAAACGCAUAUAAAAAUGUUUGUAAGAAGCGCAAAUGUUCUAGAAGAGCUAAACAAACUUUGAAGAGGGAAUGCAGGAAGAGCUGCACUAGGAAUUUUGAAUUUGACAAGGAUAGAGCUGCUUAUGAGGAAUAAGCACAUAGCGGAUGGUCUCCAAGUCAACGAUCACUAUAAGAUAAU